rnacentral:rRNA from 1 species
UGGCCUACGGGUGGCUGCAGUGGGGAAUAUUGGACAAUGGGCGCAAGCCUGAUCCAGCCAUGCCGCGUGUGUGAAGAAGGCCUUAUGGUUGUAAAGCACUUUAAGCGAGGAGGAGGCUACUGAGACUAAUACUCUUGGAUAGUGGACGUUACUCGCAGAAUAAGCACCGGCUAACUCUGUGCCAGCAGCCGCGGUAAUACAGAGGGUGCGAGCGUUAAUCGGAUUUACUGGGCGUAAAGCGUGCGUAGGCGGCUUUUUAAGUCGGAUGUGAAAUCCCCGAGCUUAACUUGGGAAUUGCAUUCGAUACUGGGAAGCUAGAGUAUGGGAGAGGAUGGUAGAAUUCCAGGUGUAGCGGUGAAAUGCGUAGAGAUCUGGAGGAAUACCGAUGGCGAAGGCAGCCAUCUGGCCUAAUACUGACGCUGAGGUACGAAAGCAUGGGGAGCAAACAGGAUUAGAUACCCUAGUAGUCC